AGUGAACGCUGGCGGUAGGCCUAACACAUGCAAGUCGAACGGCAGCACAGUAAGAGCUUGCUCUUACGGGUGGCGAGUGGCGGACGGGUGAGGAAUACAUCGGAAUCUACUUUUUCGUGGGGGAUAACGUAGGGAAACUUACGCUAAUACCGCAUACGACCUACGGGUGAAAGCAGGGGAUCUUCGGACCUUGCGCGAUUGAAUGAGCCGAUGUCGGAUUAGCUAGUUGGCGGGGUAAAGGCCCACCAAGGCGACGAUCCGUAGCUGGUCUGAGAGGAUGACCAGCCACACUGGAACUGAGACACGGUCCAGACUCCUACGGGAGGCAGCAGUGGGGAAUAUUGGACAAUGGGCGCAAGCCUGAUCCAGCCAUACCGCGUGGGUGAAGAAGGCCUUCGGGUUGUAAAGCCCUUUUGUUGGGAAAGAAAAGCAGCAGGUUAAUACCCCGCUGUUCUGACGGUACCCAAAGAAUAAGCACCGGCUAACUUCGU
rnacentral:rRNA from 1 species